GGCGGUCGCUCGGCUAUGACGUGCCCUGCUCCAGCAUAUCCGGCCCGGCCAUCCCGGCGGGUCCCGCCCGCUGUCUCGGCCUUCCCGGCGCUUCCCAUGGCCCUGCCCGCCGUCCACAGGUGCCUCCAACUCAGUGAUGAAAAUGAACAGUUAGUCAAGAAGGUGAAAAGACUACACAUAAAAAAUAAGGAGCUAGAAAAGAAUCUGGGUCAGAUCCAAGAAAAGUUGCAUCUGCAGCAGUUAAUGCAUGACUGUGGCACAAGCAGAGAUGUUCAGGUUCAAACAGAAACCCAUUUAUGGCAUAAGGGUGGAGACAGCAAGGAUUUUGUUCUAGAGUGUGACAGUGUCAGACUGCUUCAUAUGUAUAAUGAGCUACAGAAACGUUACGUUAGAGAAAGCAAAAAAAACAAGGAGCAAAGUGAAGCAAUUAAAAAUCUCACUAUUAAAAUUCAUGAGCUAGAGCAUAAUCUUCAAGAGCAGAGGCAAAGAAUUGAACAACUGGAAUGUAAAAAGGUUUCUUGGAAAACUAAUGCUGUUUCUGAAAAAAGAAGUCGAACCUCAGAGGGAGGAAUAACUUCUCACAGGGACAUUUCUGAAGAGAAGGAAUCCUGUUGCAGUAAAUAUUUAGAGCUAUUGUUGAAGGAGAUUAAAAAGCUGAAGAAAGAAAAUGGAAAGUUGUCUGCAGAAAAGAGAGCACUAAAAAAUGAAUUAGCUGGAUUAGACAAGGAAUUUUUUGAAGAGGUAGAAGAUCUAAAGCAUGCUGUACAGGAAUGUCUGAAACUGAACUAUGAAAUUUCGUCCAUGGGCAUGUGAAGUAACAUCUUUAUAGUUCUCCUGGAGUCCCUUUUACUGUAACUGUGCCACAGUUUACCUUUAAAGAGUGAGGCUUUCAGACACCCAGUGCUCUUCAGACCCGAGAGGCUGCACGUGGAAGCCGAGUGAUUUUACUGGAAGUAAGGGUUGUGUCUCUGUUCUCUCAGGUGGGACACUUGUUUAUUGUAGGCACUUCCACUGGAAAAGUGUGUUUAUGUCAAGGACUGUAGAAGAAAGAGAC
rnacentral:lncRNA from 1 species